rnacentral:rRNA from 1 species
CCCCUAGAUGUUCUGGGCCGCACGCGCGCUACACUGAACAGUUCAACAAGUCUUAACCUUGGCCGACAGGCCCGGGCAAUCUUUGAACGCUGGUCGUGAUGGGGAUAGACUUUUGCAAUUUUUGGUCUUCAACGAGGAAUUCCUAGUAAACGCAAGUCAUCAACUUGCAUUGAUUACGUCCCUGCCCUUUGUACACACCGCCCGUCGCACCUACCGAUUGAAUGGUCCGGUGAAGCCUCCGGAUUGGCGCGCACCUCGGUGCCGCCGAGAAGUUGGCUAAACCUUACCAUUUAGAGGAAGGUGAGGUCGUAACA